rnacentral:lncRNA from 1 species
UCAGCUACACAUACAUCUGGGCUCAUCCUCUUGCCUGAUCAAGUCCCAUCUCUCUCUCCCUUAAAGUAUCUUCCUCUCCAUAAGCCACUUGCUCAAGGACCUUAGGCUUAACGAACCAGAGAGACUCCACCACCCUGUGCCACCUGCAUCAAUGUGGUUGCUCUGCAGAGGUAUAGGAGGCAUCUUUGAUUCCAGAAAACCAAGUGGGGGCUGCCAUAGGCUCUGUGUGGUUUGCAGGGCUGACCACAGGCUCUGCUUGGCAGAGAAAACACAAUGCUAAGGGGAGCCCAAGAUGCCAGGGUUUGCAGCGCCUCCUGGUAGACUAAGCUCGGACAACGGGCUUUGUCCUCAACAGCCUCAGUUUCCCCAGAAAUAAAAAAGGGGCUUUCCCAGAA